CCCACAGUUUUCUCUUCGUAUUAAAUGGGUUUUCACGUAAAUCUGUGUGUCGUGCUCUGUAGUUUGUUGGUAUUUCUUUUUAUCUGUCGAUUCUGCUAACAUGCAGCAGUACUACCGGCUUGUUCGCCGCCGGCGACCGGAGGAGGAAUGCUCGCCGCCGCCCGGCGUGCUCGGUCUGGGCACUCAGGCUGGGGCGGAGCAGCAGCGGGAGUAAGAAGGCAGGCCUCGGCAUCGUCCGCAACCUCGACGGAUAGUACGAGGACACCUUUAACGACGUCCAGCGGGUCGAUGUUCUGCAAGGUAAUGCCUUGGCAUGGGACGUUCUCACUGCAGUUCAUCUUGAUGGCGUCCUUGGUACUGGUCGUCCCUCUAAUGUUCUUGAAGACGACACCGCUGACCUGCACUGCUGACUCUUGUUCUCCGCAUGGCUUAGCCUUGUCGCAGUAGUUCUGGUCGAUGAUUAUCGGGUUCUUGACGUCGUACAUAACCAUAUUUUGGAACGUGAUGUCCUUGGCGUAUCCGCUGCCUCCCUGGUACGUCUUGAUGCGUGCUCCGUUGGUUGUGCCGUGUAGUUGCACUGAAUCUAUGGUGAUGCCGGAGACUUCUGCUCUUGAGUUGUCGUCUCCUAGGCUUCCGA